rnacentral:lncRNA from 1 species
AAAUUAUAAAAUGAAUAUAUUCGUCUAAGAAUAGGGUAUAUAGGAACUUUACUAUUACAAUUAAUGGAGUCCUAAUCAUAUACACAUAAGCAGUUGGCUUUAAUUAAACAAAUAAAUAAUAAACAACAAUAUCAAAGUGUGGAAUAAAACUAAAUGCAAAUGCGGCAUAUACAGUACAGUACACACUUGCACACACGAGUCCAAUUACGCGUUCCCCAGCCAUCUCCCCUUUCUCUAUAUUAUCCACGUUUCCAAGUCAUUUUGACUAUGUAAUCUGCAUAUCUGAAUCACCUGCACUCACAAUUCUGUAAUUGUAUACAAUCAUGCUCUCUAGCACCGUUGGAUCAAAAUUAACGGUUGAGAUUUCAAACACAAUUAUAAAUUAUUAUAAAUAAACAAAAUCUGGAACGUUUAAUUUUAAUCGAACAAUCUCAAUAUGUGUAACUUUAUAAAAUCACAUUGCACACAAUCUAAAUCCAUAUCGCGUGCUCUAUCUAGAAACCCAAAACCAGAACCUCUUUAGCUGCUAUUACGUAAUACAUUUUGCAACCUUUUCUAUAAUUAAUACGCCCAAUUUACG